GCAAACUUGGUCAUUUAGAGGAAGUAAAAGUCGUAACAAGGUCUCCGUUGGUGAACCAGCGGAGGGAUCAUUACAGAGUUGUCCUAAACUCUCCCAAACCCUUUGUGAACGUUACUGUUGUUGCCUCGGCGGGAGCGAGGCUACCCGGGACCUACCCUGGAGCUACCCUGUAGCUACCCGGGAGUCACCCCGCACCUCGCAGCUACCCCGCCGGCGGACCACUAAAACUCUGGUGUACUGUCCUGCAUCUCUGAAUGCUUCAACUGAAAUCAGUUAAAACUUUCAACAACGGAUCUCUUGGUUCUGGCAUCGAUGAAGAACGCAGC
rnacentral:misc_RNA from 1 species